rnacentral:rRNA from 1 species
UACGUAGGGUGCAAGCGUUGUCCGGAAUUAUUGGGCGUAAAGAGCUCGUAGGCGGUUUGUCGCGUCUGCUGUGAAAAACCCGAGGCUCAACCUCGGGCCUGCAGUGGGUACGGGCAGACUAGAGUGCGGUAGGGGGAGAUUGGAAUUCCUGGUGUAGCGGUGGAAUGCGCAGAUAUCAGGAGGAACACCGAUGGCGAAGGCAGAUCUCUGGGCCGUAACUGACGCUGAGGAGCGAAAGCGUGGGGAGCGAACAGG